UACGUAGGGGGCAAGCGUUGUCCGGAUUUAUUGGGCGUAAAGAGCUCGUAGGCGGCUUGUUGCGUCAGCUGUGAAAACCCGCAGCUCAACUGUGGGCUUGCAGCUGAUACGGGCGGGCUGGGAUUCGGUAGGGGAGACUGGAAUUCCUGGUGUAGCAGUGAAAUGCGUAGAUAUCAGGAGGAAUACCGAUGGCGAAGGCAGGUCUCUGGGCUAUAACUGACGCUCAUGCACGAAAGCGUGGGGAGCAAACAGG
rnacentral:rRNA from 1 species